rnacentral:rRNA from 1 species
GAUGAACGCUGGCGGCGUGCCUAAUACAUGCAAGUCGAGCGAACAGAUGAGGAGCUUGCUCCUCUGACGUUAGCGGCGGACGGGUGAGUAACACGUGGAUAACCUACCUAUAAGACUGGGAUCACUUCGGGAAACCGGAGCUAAUACCGGAUAAUAUCUUGAACCGCAUGGUUCAAUAGUGAAAGACGGUUUUGCUGUCACUUAUAGAUGGAUCCGCGCCGCAUUGGCUAGUUGGUAAGGUAACGGCUUACCAAGGCAACGAUGCGUAGCCGACCUGAGAGGGUGAUCGGCCACACCGGAACUGAGAAACGGUCCAGACUCCUACGGGAGGCAGCAGAAGGGAAUAUUCCGCAAUGGGCGAAAGCAUGACGGAGCAACGCCGCGUGAGUGAUGAAGGUCUUCGGAUCGUAAAACUCUGUUAUUAGGGAAGAACAAAUGUGUAAGUAACUAUGCACGUCUUGACGGUACCUAAGCAGAAAGCCACGGCUAACUACGUG